CCUUUCUCUCCAACCAAAAGGAAUGCACAAUAACAAGUCCGUAGUCCACCCUAGGAAAGACAGAACCCUCGUCUCUCUCCCUUGGAAAACGCCUUCAAUUUUCAAACAUCAACCCAACGACCUCACUGUUUACUCUCUCUCUUCUUCCUUUAAAAGUUUACAAAGCAAAGUGUCUAACUUUCCCUAGGGUUCAACUGAUAGCCCUUGUUCCAAGAAUCCAUUUUUAUUCUUUGAUUCUUCAAUUUCUUGAUCAAUUUUUU
rnacentral:lncRNA from 1 species